CGGAGGGUGCAAGCGUUAUCCGGAUUCACUGGGUUUAAAGGGUGCGUAGGUGGAGUGGUAAGUCAGUGGUGAAAUCUCCAAGCUUAACUUGGAACUGCCGUUGAUACUAUCAUUCUUGAAUAUCGUGGAGGUAAGCGGAAUAUGUCAUGUAGCGGUGAAAUGCUUAGAUAUGACAUAGAACACCGAUUGCGAAGGCAGCUGCUACACGAUCAUUGACACUGAGGCACGAAAGCGUGGGAUCAAACAGGAUU
rnacentral:rRNA from 1 species